UCACCGCAGGACACACUCGAGGCAUCGUUCCGUUGUAUCUUUCGAGUAUGGCAACAGUCGUGACACUCGUCAUGAGGCCAGCAACGAUUUCAUCGAGUGGAGCAAGCGAAGGCAUAUAUUGCACCGACGGGCUAUAGCGGCAAUACGGAUGUGCGGGCCUCUUUAUUGAAUGAAGUACGCCAAGUGGUUGUCUUGACCAAGGAAGUCGUAUAUAUAUAUAUAUAUAUAUGGGGAUGGAAGCUUAGAAGAAAGCAUGUAUUGCACGUUUGGACAGGACAGCGCCUUCCGAAGGAAUGUUAUGCUGUUGAUACAGCCGAAGAGUAUUGAACGUGUCGGAAGGAAAACAACGAUGUAGAUUGUCUGUCAAGCUGCUUUCGUGGCAGCUUUUUGUCAGCACCUCCUACCACGAAAUGCGGGAAAUAAAGUAUUAUUAUUAUUAU